CGACUGGAGCGUCUCCAGUGGAGCUGGCAGUUGGGAGGCCGGAGGCCCGGCCCAUAGCGGGUGGCUGUUAGGAGCUAUGGAUGAAGGACCUGUGUAUGUUGGUGCCCGCUGUCGCCCUCCUUGUCCCGAGGUCUCGUCUUCUUACACUCACUCGGACUCAAGAAGAAUCUGAGACCCAGAGAGUGAAGUGAAGACCACAAAGGGGCAGAGCCCCAGGCUUCUGACUCCUCACUCACUGUGGUUUCCUCUGCUUGGGUGCCAUCUGGAUAAUACCAUGAGUCGCAUCAUUAAGACAAGAAGUCGUCUGGCUCUGUCACCCGGGCUGGAGUGCAGUGGUGUGAUCUCGUCUCACU